AAGAAAAAAUUUAAUUAUUUUAUUUGUUUUAAAAUUAUUUAAUAUAAAUAAAUUUAAAUUUAAGAGUUUUUGUAUUGUUUAAAGAUCAAAUAAUUUUUUUUAUAGGAAAGAAGUAUUGAAAAAGAAAAUUGAAAAAUUUUUUUGUUUAUAUAAAAGUAGUAUUUAUUUUAUGUACCUUUUGUAUCAGGGUUUAUUAAAUAAGAAAUAAUUAUAUUAUGUUCUCGAAUUUAAAGGAGCUAAAUUAUUAUGAGAGUUUUUGUGUUAUAAAAAUUUUAAAUAAUAAUUUAGGAAUGAGAUGUUAUUCGUCUUUAAAUAUAUCUAGUUUUUUAAGAAAUAAAUUUAAUUUAUAUAUUAAUUAAUUAAUUUUUUAAUUUGUAAAUAAAUUAAUGAUUAAUAUAAAUAUAUCAAGGGAUAAGCUUUGAUUUAUUAAAAUUAUAAUUAAAUUAAAUAGGAAUUAAUUGUAGAUUUAGAAAUAGUUAUCAAUAAAAAAUUUGUAUUAAUUUAUAAAUUAAUAAAAAAUAUUUAUUUAAAUUUAAUUUAAGUAUUAAAAUAUAAAUUUUAAUUUUAAAAAUUUAGUAAUAAUGAUAAAAUUAGUAUAAUAGAAUUGUUAAAAUAUAAUAAAUUGAAAGAUUAUUUUAAGGAAUUCGGCAAAAAUAAUGUUCACCUGUUUAACAAAAACAUGUCUUUUAGAUUAUAAUUUAAAGUCUAACCUGCCCACUGAAAUUAUUUGAAGGGCCGCGGUAUUUUGACUGUGCAAAGGUAGCAUAAUCAUUAGUCUUUUAAUUGGAGGCUUGUAUGAAUGGUUGGAUGAAACAUUAACUGUCUCAAUUUAAAAAAAGUAGAAUUUAAUUUUUAAGUUAAAAAGCUUAAAUAAAAUUAGAGGACGAGAAGACCCUAUAGAUCUUUAUAAUUAAUAUUUUAUUAUGAAUAUAGAAAAUUAAUUUAUAUAAAUAUAUUAAUUAUUUUAUUGGGGUGAUAGAUAAAUUUAGUAAACUUUAUUUAAUAUAAACAUUUAUUUAUGAAUAUUUGAUCCAUUAAUAGUGAUUAUAAGAUUAAGUUACCUUAGGGAUAACAGCGUAAUUUUUUUAGAGAGUUCAUAUCGAUAAAAAAGUUUGCGACCUCGAUGUUGAAUUAAAGGUUAAUUUUAGGUGUAGAAGUUUAAAAUUUUGGUCUGUUCGACCAUUAAAUCUUUACAUGAUUUGAGUUCAAACCGGCGUGAGCCAGGUUGGUUUCUAUCCUUAAUAAUAUAAAAUAUUUUAGUACGAAAGGACCAAAUAUUUAAAAAAUUUUUUAAAAAUUGAAUAAUAUUAAU
rnacentral:rRNA from 1 species